UACGUAGGGGGCAAGCGUUGUCCGGAAUCAUUGGGCGUAAAGCGCGUGUAGGCGGCCCGGUAAGUCCGCUGUGAAAGUCCAGGGCUCAACCCUGGAAAGCCGGUGGAUACUGUGGGGCUAGAGUCCGGAAGAGGCGAGUGGAAUUCCUGGUGUAGCGGUGGAAUGCGCAGAUAUCAGGAGGAACACCAAUAGCGAAGGCAGCUCGCUGGGACGGUACUGACGCUAAGGCGCGAAAGUGUGGGGAGCGAACAGG
rnacentral:rRNA from 1 species